GGAUUUCGAACCACGAGAUGUGUUAUCUGCGUCUCGUUGAGUUUACCCAUAGAACUAAUACAAUGUAUUAAUUCUAUGGAGUUUACCAAUACCCUUAGCCAGGCUCAAACUCGACUGCCGUGUGUCCGAUUUUGACGUCAGGGUGCACACUUAAAAGAGAAUCGCAACUGUGAAUAUCCCUGCUCGCAACCACCGACACAAUGCCUAAUGGCAGUUGUUAUGAAUGUAUAAGCUUACAAUCACUAACACCCAGUGCUGUUACAUCAGUGUUAGUGAGUGCAUGCAGACACUCGCUGAUAGCAAUAGGGCCUAUGUGUUGUAGUUGUCAGUACUACAUUCAUUUACCCACUACCCUCUUAUAACGUGUGAAAUAACCUAAUAGUUAUCAUAAUGUUAUACCAUGGAUUCCUCCUAUUUCCUUUGUGUGUCCACUUGAAAUUGUGAACAAAGCUGGUUACUGGGGCAGUAAUGCAAACAUGUGUGCUUUCGUUUAGAAGACUCACUCUUUUGUCCCUCACAAUGUCUUCUAACUAUGCAGAACAUGAUGUGGCAUAAUGGGUGGGUGGGUGCAUAUUAGUGCAUUGGGUAUUUCUGAAUCUCAUUGAGUGUUGUUGUCUUCACAGGCCACCACAAUAAGUGUACACGUUCAGACAUAUGGUUCAUGGAUGCUGCCUGCCAGACAGACUGCAUUGCCACCUGGACUACAGCCACACCAGUUAUCCUUGAAGACAUUGCUGCCCCAGCCAUGGAGUAAAUAUGGCUCUCCUCUACAAUGAAAAUUCAAACGAACAACCGGCCCUAUGGCUACCUGCAGGAGGUGUACCUUUCUUCAAAAUUGCCAAGACCAAGAAGGGAUAGUGCAUCAACCAUCAAAAGAUUAAGCCAACCUUUUGGUUAUGUUCAUGUUCGUGGAACUCAUUCUGGACAAGGUCUUUGGGAACCCUGCAAAGCAGACUGAGGCAAUGUUGGCGUUGGUGCAGUUCACAGACGAGCCAGCCAGAUAAAGAGGUCACAGCAAGCCUUGUGUUGAGGUUCAUGCGUACUGCAGUCUGAAUCCCCGGUGUAGUGUCCUUCGUCAUCAAGGAACUCAGCAUGGAUAUGCACGACAACACGGGAAUCACUGUUGGACUUGAAGCAGCUGGAAAAAAAGAAAAGACAGUUGCAGAGAUUGUUAUUGCCGUCAUUCUUUCACUACAAUAUUUGUCUUCAAUAAAUAUGUUCCUAUGGAAUACUCUUGAUGCUGUUGUAAAUAAAUGUUCACACUGCCUUUA